AGUUUGAUCCUGGCUCAGGAUGAACGCUAGCGGGAGGCUUAACACAUGCAAGUCGAGGGGCAGCACGAUGUAGCAAUACGUUGGUGGCGACCGGCGCACGGGUGAGUAACACGUAUGCAACCUACCCUGUACAGGGGGAUAACCCGGAGAAAUUCGGACUAAUAUCCCAUAAAGAUAUUUGAGGGCAUCCUUGGAUAUUUAAAGCUCAGGCGGUACGGGAUGGGCAUGCGGAACAUUAGCUAGUUGGCAGGGUAACGGCCUACCAAGGCAACGAUGUUUAGGGGACCUGAGAGGGUGAUCCCCCACACUGGUACUGAGACACGGACCAGACUCCUACGGGAGGCAGCAGUGAGGAAUAUUGGUCAAUGGGCGCAAGCCUGAACCAGCCAUCCCGCGUGCAGGAAGACGGCCCUAUGGGUUGUAAACUGCUUUUCCAGGGGGAGAAUUUUUCUGUCGUGACAGGAAUUGACGGUACCCUGGGAAUAAGCAUCGGCUAGCUCCGUGCCAGCAGCCGCGGUAAUACGGAGGAUGCGAGCGUUAUCCGGAUUUAUUGGGUUUAAAGGGUGCGUAGGCGGAUUGAUAAGUCAGUGGUGAAAACCUGCAGCUUAACUGUAGACUUGCCGUUGAUACUGUCAGUCUUGAGUGUGGUCAAGGUAGGCGGAAUGUGUAAUGUAGCGGUGAAAUGCUUAGAUAUUACACAGAACACCGAUUGCGAAGGCAGCUUACUGGGCCAUUACUGACGCUGAUGCACGANAGCGUGGGGAUCGAACAGGAUUAGAUACCCUGGUAGUCCACGCCGUANACGAUGAUCACUCGCUGUUAGCGAUACACAGUUAGCGGCUAAGCAAAAGCAUUAAGUGAUCCACCUGGGGAGUACGGCCGCAAGGCUGAAACUCAAAGGAAUUGACGGGGGCCCGCACAAGCGGANGAACAUGUGGUUUAAUUCGAUGAUACGCGAGGAACCUUACCUGGGCUUAAAUGUAGAGUGCAUUCAGCUGAAAGGCUGAUUUCCUUCGGGACUUUCUGCAAGGNGCUGCAUGGUUGUCGUCAGCUCGUGCC
rnacentral:rRNA from 1 species